UUCUUAGCCAUUAAAUUUGUUCUUUCAAUUUGUUUGAAUAACAAGCUAAUGUGCACAGAACUGCGGUAUUGCAUAAGUCACGACUAGUUUUAAUUGGGUCAAUAUAUUAUUUUAUGCCAGAUCACUUCAUAGAUCUUUUAAUCCAAAAAAUUUUAUGGUGAAUUUAUAUCACACACCAAAUUACAAUGGGCCUACAGUGAUUUCAAAUCUCUACAAUUUUAAAAAAUCAAACAAUGAAGUAGAUUUCAAAUCAGUGGUGCCCGCCAAUUCCUUUUUAAAUCACCCUCCAAAUAUAAAAAUCAACCAAAGUAGAUUUAUUAUACCAUAAAAAAAAACUCAACUAUUUUUAAAACAAUGUCCAAAUUGCUUUGCAAUAGUUGCCACUAAUUACUUCUAGCAUACCAAAAACAAAUUUACAAACAAAUUUCAUGAUUAUUCUCCCAUCAUAAAUACACACAUAAUUUUCUCAUAAAAUGAUGGAUAUAGCUCAUUUCAA
rnacentral:lncRNA from 1 species